UAACAAAUCAUUUUCUUCCUCCCUCCCUACCCGAUCCAGUUUCCUUUCUCCCUCUCUCUCUCGCAUGCUCUCUGCUAGCCCGAACGGCUGCCCUCCGAUGGUCGCCGCCGUGUAGACACCGGAUCAAGAGUACCAGCCACCGCCGAAACUCCAGCCUCGCGAGCCCUUCGUUGCCGUUCUCCGCCGUGAGAAGAAGCCUCCAGGCUCGUACGUUGCCGCCGUGGCUUCAAGGCCAAUUUCUGGCUUCCUCUGUCAUCGUCUCAGGCAAAGGGUAGCAUGGGUGAACUCAGGGUAUCAAGAAGAACAAAGCCCAGCCAAGGAUCGGGCUUUUAAGUGACCGGAGGAGACGGAAUCAACUCUCCAUUUGCUGCUCGUAGUCUUCUUCUCGAGUUUAUAAUGGAUAUGAAAUUAGGGAAGUUCACAUUGAUUUCUGUUACAAAGGAGCCUACUCAGAUGGACAUUGUGGUUCACCUUCACCACCGCCAGUGUAUGAAGAUCGAUUGUUUUCUUCAGAGGCUUAUGUUCCUGAAUUUAAGCAGGGCAAGAAAGCUGUGUCAGUGCCAUUUCCUGGUCUAUCAGAAUAUUUGAGACCUGAAACUCUAGAAGAGGGUGGUGAUUUAUGGCUUGUUUGGAUAUUCAGAUGGAUGUAAAGAAUCAAUAUUAUGCAACUAUAUGGGUGCUCAAGAUAUGCAUUUUCGAGAAAAUGAGCAAUUAUGGAGAGUUUAGACGGUUUACAACUUGGAAACAAAGGGACCAAAUUGUUGACUUUUAAUUGCCAUAUGAGAUUUUUGGGGCUAUGCAACAAAACUAAAACUUGCAAAAAAAAGGAGGGAGGAGUUAUAGAUAGAAGCCAAGACAUUGCUCUUUUGCAAGAUUUCUACAAACUCUAUCGAGAGCAGAAUGACGUGGAAAUGUUACGAGAAGAAGAGUUGAAUUUAAGGGAGACUGGGGCUUUCAGUGGAGACUUGGGCGAAUGAAGUCCAUGGCUGGCACCCAAGCUUAGCCUUGGCCCCAAAAGUUGAAGAAGAAAGCUUAGAACUGUUUGUUCAUUUCAAGAAAACCACUGUUUCGUUGGGAAAAUGUGAUACACCAAUUGGAUCUCAUGACUGAUUUGCUUGGCACACCACCCUCCCCAGCCGAAUCCACUGGAAGGUUAUUGCAUGGGAAGAAAAGUAAAGCAGGAGGUCCCUGAAGAUUGGGUCUGUGAAUCAUGCCAAAGUGUAAGUGACUCAGUUUUGAUGGAAUCUGGGAAGAGAGAUGAAGCUGUCACAAUAGCAAUGAGCAAGGGGCAAUUGUCAAUUUCACAGCUUCAUUCCAAGAAGAAAAAGCCAGUAGAAACUGGUAAAGUUAAGUUCAUUCCUCAUGAAGAAAUACUUGAAAGAAAUCCUUAAUAAUAAUAAAAAAUUGUGAUGCUGUGAAAUCAUUCCUUGCUUGAAAAGAAAAAUGCUCAGGCAUUUUUUUUUUGGUGUAGCACUCCUUGCUUUAAGGAAUACUCAAUGCUUCUUUGUGACUGGCACUUGUGGUUGUAGUUUUGAUAGUUUUUCAUGAGGGCCUCUGUGCUGUCUUUGUUUGUAGUUUUAUGUCUUAUAUGUACUAUCUUAGUCUGAGGCUGUCUAGACUGUAAUACAGCACGGGUGAUUUCUUAUCAUUUUUUUUAAUACAAUCUUGUAUGGUUGGGAUUGAAAUGAUAGUGUUUAUGUGAGAAUAGAAAUAGAAUGGGAAAGAAAUAUCAAUUCUUUUGUUUGGUUGAAA